AGAGUUUGAUCCUGGCUCAGAGUGAACGCUGGCGGCAGGCCUAAUACAUGCAAGUCGAACGGCAGCACAGCAGAGCUUGCUCUGGUGGGUGGCGAGUGGCGGACGGGUGAGGAAUACAUGGGAAUCUGCCCAGUCGUGGGGGAUAACGUAGGGAAACUUACGCUAAUACCGCAUGCGCCCUUCGGGGGAAAGCCGGGGACCGUAAGGCCUGGCGCGAUUGGAUGAGCCCAUGUCGGAUUAGCUAGUUGGCGGGGUAAAGGCCCACCAAGGCGACGAUCCGUAGCUGGUCUGAGAGGAUGAUCAGCCACACUGGAACUGAGACACGGUCCAGACUCCUACGGGAGGCAGCAGUAGGGAAUAUUGGACAAUGGGCGCAAGCCUGAUCCAGCCAUGCCGCGUGAGUGAAGAAGGCCCUCGGGUUGUAAAGCUCUUUUGUCCGGAAAGAAAAGCGCCGGGUUAAUACCCUGGUGUCCUGACGGUACCGGAAGAAUAAGCACCGGCUAACUUCGUG
rnacentral:rRNA from 1 species